UUGCCUACGGGGGGCAGCAGUGGGGAAUAUUGCACAAUGGGGGAAACCCUGAUGCAGCAACGCCGCGUGAAGGAAGACGGUUUUCGGAUUGUAAACUUCUGUUCUUAGUGAAGAAUAAUGACGGUAGCUAAGGAGCAAGCCACGGCUAACUACGUGCCAGCAGCCGCGGUAAUACGUAGGUGGCAAGCGUUGUCCGGAUUUACUGGGUGUAAAGGGCGUGCAGCCGGGAGGACAAGUCAGAUGUGAAAUCCCGCGGCUCAACCGCGGAACUGCAUUUGAAACUGUUUUUCUUGAGUACCGGAGAG
rnacentral:rRNA from 1 species